GGAUGGGUCGCAUAGCUGGCGAGUGCGCCGGUUUGCUAGUCCGGUGAGCCGCGAGGCUCCGCGGGUUCGAAUCCCGCCCCAUCCG
rnacentral:tRNA from 1 species